GGGAAGAGCCUACGUCUGAUUAGCUAGUUGGUAGGGUAAAGGCCUACCAAGGCGACGAUCAGUAGCUGGUCUGAGAGGACGACCAGCCACACUGGGACUGAGACACGGCCCAGACUCCUACGGGAGGCAGCAGUGGGGAAUUUUUCGCAAUGGGGGCAACCCUGACGAAGCAAUGCCGCGUGGAUGAAGAAGGCCUUCGGGUUGUAAAGUCCUUUCGUGGGGGACGAAAAGGUGGUUCCUAAUACGAGCUGCUGUUGACGUGAACCCAAGAAGAAGCACCGGCUAACUCCGUGCCAGCCGCCGCAGUAACAC
rnacentral:rRNA from 1 species